rnacentral:rRNA from 1 species
AAUGCGUUUUGAGAUGGUCCUGCGUCCUAUCAGCUAGUUGGCGGGGUAACGGUUCGCCAAGGCUAUGACGGGUAUCCGGCCUUAAAGGGUGAACGGACACACUGGAACUGAGACACGGUCCAGACUCCUAUGGGAGGCAGCAGUGGGGAAUUUUGGACAAUGGGGGAAACCCUGAUCCAGCGACGCCGCGUGGAGGAUGAAGGCCUUCGGGUUGUAAACUCCUUUUAGAGGGGAAGAAAUAAAUGACGUUACCCUCAGAAAAAGCCACGGCUAACUACGUGCCAGCAGCCGCGGUAAUACGUAGGUGGCGAGCGUUACUCGGAAUUACUAGGCGUAAAGCGUAUAUAGGCUGUCGUAUAAGUCUUUAGUAAAAUUUCUCGGCUCAACCGGGAAAAGCUUAAGGAUACUGUUCGACUUGAGUGUGGGAGAGGGAAACGGAAUUCCUGGUGUAGCGGUGAAAUGCGUAGAUAUCAGGAGGAACACCGAUGGCGAAAGCAGUUUCCUGGACCAAUACUGACGCUGAUGUACGAAAGCUAGGGUAGCAAACAGGAUUAGAUACCCUGGUAGUCCUAGCUGUAAACUAUGUUCACUAGAUGUGGGGGGUAUCGACCCCUUCCGCGUCGUCGUUAACGCAUUAAGUGAACCGCCUGGGGAGUACGGCCGCAAGGUUGAAACUCAAAGGAAUUGACGGGGGCCCGCACAAGCGGUGGAGUAUGUGGUUUAAUUCGACGCAACGCGAAAAACCUUACCUGGGCUUGAACUGCUGAUGGUAAAAACCAGAAACGGCAAUGACCCGCAAGGGAGUCAGCAGAGGUGUUGCAUGGCUGUCGUCAGCUCGUGUCGUGAGAUGUUGGGUUAAGUCCCGCAACGAGCGCAACCCUUAUCCCAUGUUACCUGUAGCGAUACAGGGUCUCUGAGGAAACUGCCAUUGAUAAAAUGGAGGAAGGUGGGGACGACGUCAAGUCAUCAUGUCCUUUAUGUCCAGGGCUACACACGUACUACAAUGGCCGGUACAGAGGGUAGCAAUAUCGUAAGAUGGAGCAAAUCCCUGAAAGCCGGCCCCAGUUCGGAUUGUGGGCUGCAAUUCGUCCACAUGAAGUAGGAAUC